UACGUAGGUGGCAAGCGUUGUCCGGAUUUAUUGGGUUUAAAGCGUGCGUAGACGGCUAUCUAAGUCGGGUGUGAAAGCCCCGGGCUCAACCUGGGAAUUGCAUUCGAGACUGAAUAGCUAGGGUACGGUAGAGGGAAGUGGAAUUUCCGGUGUAGCGGUGAAAUGCGUAGAUAUCGGAAGGAACAUCAGUGGCGAAAGCGACUUCCUGGACCAGUACCGACGUUCAGGCACGAAAGCGUGGGGAGCAAACAGG
rnacentral:rRNA from 1 species